CCUACGGGAGGCAGCAGUAGGGAAUAUUGCUCAAUGGGGGAAACCCUGAAGCAGCAACGCCGCGUGGAGGAUGAAGGUUUUCGGAUUGUAAACUCCUUUUGUUAGAGAAGAUAAUGACGGUAUCUAACGAAUAAGCACCGGCUAACUCCGUGCCAGCAGCCGCGGUAAUACGGCGGGUGCAAGCGUUACUCGGAAUCACUGGGCGUAAAGAGCGCGUAGGCGGGAUAGCAAGUCAGAUGUGAAAUCCUAUGGCUUAACCAUAGAACUGCAUUUGAAACUAUUAUUCUAGAGUGUGGGAGAGGUAGGUGGAAUUCUUGGUGUAGGGGUAGAAUCCGUAGAGAUCAAGAGGAAUACUCAUUGCGAAGGCGACCUGCUAGAACAUAACUGACGCUGAUGCGCGAAAGCGUGGGGAGCAAACAGGAUUAGAUACCCUUGUAGUC
rnacentral:rRNA from 1 species